rnacentral:lncRNA from 1 species
GUGUCAUUUUGGUCUAUUGUGGAGAGUUUUCUCAUUGGAAAUCAUACCAAAUCUUCUUUUUUUAUAUUUAGUUCUUUAUUCAGAUUUUUAAAGACUUGUUUACCUUUUUUGGGAUGACUGUCAAUUUUUCGUAGAAGUCUCCUUGGCUUCUUUCUGCAUACUUUUUACUUCUUACGUUAACAAGUGCAUGCACUACUCUUCAAGGUAAG